rnacentral:rRNA from 1 species
UGUAGUCAUAUGCUUGUCUCAAAGAUUAAGCCAUGCAUGUCUAAGUAUAAGCAAUCUAUACAGUGAAACUGCGAAUGGCUCAUUAAAUCAGUUAUCGUUUAUUUGAUAGUACCUUACUACUUGGAUAACCGUGGUAAUUCUAGAGCUAAUACAUGCUAAAAAUCCCGACCCCUGGAAGGGAUGUAUUUAUUAGAUAAAAAACCAAUGCCUUCGGGCUCCUUGGUGAUUCAUGAUAACUUAACGAAUCGCAUGGCCUUGUGCCGGCGAUGGUUCAUUCAAAUUUCUGCCCUAUCAACUUUCGAUGGUAGGAUAGUGGCCUACCAUGGUUUCAACGGGUAACGGGGAAUG